rnacentral:rRNA from 1 species
UAGGGAGUUUUCGGCAAUGGGGGCAACCCUGACCGAGCAACGCCGCGUGAAUGAUGAAGGCCCUAUGGGUCGUAAAAUUCUGUUGUAAGGGACGAAUGAUAAGGGUAGGAAAUGAUCUUUAUUUGACUGUACCUUACGAGGAAGCCACGGCUAACUACGUGCCAGCAGCCGCGGUAAUACGUAGGUGGCAAGCGUUAUCCGGAAUUAUUGGGCGUAAAGAGUGAGCAGGCGGUUAUUUAAGUUUGGAGUCAAAUGCUGUGGCUUAACCACAGUUCGCUUUGAAAACUGAAUGACUAGAGUCCGGAAGAGGCAAAUGGAACUCCAUGUGUAGCGGUGAAAUGCGUAGAUAUAUGGAAGAACACCAGUGGCGAAGGCGAUUUGCUAGGCCGGUACUGACGCUCAGUCACGAAAGCGUGGGGAGCAAAUAGG